rnacentral:miRNA from 1 species
UGGGUCUCCAGCUGUUUUCAGGCUACAUCCCAUCAUCCCUUAUCACUGGUCUUGCUAGCUAGGGAUGAUGGGAGUUGUAGUCUGGAAACAGCUGGAGACCUA